rnacentral:tRNA from 1 species
AAGGGUGUAGCUCAGUGGCAGAGUGUGUGCCUAGCACGCAUGAGAUCCUGGGUUCAAUCCCCCAGUAUCUCCA